rnacentral:rRNA from 1 species
UACGAAGGGGGCUAGCGUUGUUCGGAAUCACUGGGCGUAAAGCGCACGCAGGCGGGUCGUUAAGUCAGGGGUGAAAUCCCGAGGCUCAACCUCGGAACUGCCUUUGAUACUGGCGAUCUUUGAGUCCGGGAGAGGUGAGUGGAACUCCGAGUGUAGAGGUGAAAUUCGUAGAUAUUCGGAAGAACACCUAUGGCGAAGGCAGCUCUCUGGGACGGUACUGACGCUGAGACGCGAAAGCGUGGGGAGCGAACAGG